rnacentral:rRNA from 1 species
UACGUAGGCAGCGAGCGUUGUUAGGAGUUACUGGGCGUAAAGCGUGCGUAGGCGGUGUCUUAAGUUUGUUGUGAAAUCUCCCGGCUUAACCGGGAGGGUGCGGCGAAUACUGAGAUGCUGGAGUGCCGGAGAGGUAAGCGGAAUUCCUGGUGUAGCGGUGAAAUGCGUAGAUAUCAGGAGGAACACCUGCGGUGUAGACGGCUUACUGGACGGUAACUGACGCUGAGGCACGAAAGCGUGGGUAGCAAGCAGG